CUUUAACCUGGGAGGUAGAGGUUGCAGGGAGCUGAGAUUGUGCCAUUGCACUCCAGCCUGGGUGACAGAGCAAGAUUCCAUCUCAAAAAACAAACAAAAAUUAGCUGAGUGCGGUGGCGGGUGCCUGUAAUUCCAGCUACUCAGGGAGCUAAGGCAGCAGAAUCACUUGAAUCCAGGAGACAGAGGUUGCAGUGAGCCGAGAUUGUAACACUGCACUCCAGCCUGAGUGACAGAGUGAGAAUAAACAAACAAACAAACAAACUGAGAAGGGGAACCCAAAGCUAAAGGUCAAAGACAGUGGCAAGGGGUCUGACUCCAGAAACCCGGAGUCAGAGCUGCUCUGUCAGACGUGCUCAGGAACCCAGAUUAACUGUGUCCUCACCUCAAAGACCGGGCCUCUGAAGCUUUUUCAAGAUUCACAGAAUCUCUCUUAACUUGUGCUAGAUCUUUUCUUGAAAAAAAGCCAAUCAUGACAAGCAGAUAUAAUCCGUUUAAGGACUACGGGAAGUGUGCAGCCUUGUACGGACGUCCCAUUGGAAACCCUCGGAGUAUGGAAUCAAACUCCUGUAAACUUUCCUCUUGCAAAGUAACUUUGUUUAGUAAUUGCAAUUAAUUCAUAAUCAAAAUG
rnacentral:lncRNA from 1 species